CCCUUAGAUGUUCUGGGCCGCACGCGCGCUACACUGAUUUGUCCAACAAGUUCUUCCUUGACCGAGAGGUCUGGGUAAUCUUGCAAUCCAAAUCGUGAUGGGGAUUGGUCCUUGUAACUCUUGACCAUGAACGAGGAAUUCCUAGUAAACGCGAGUCAUCAACUCGCAUUGAUUACGUCCCUGCCCUUUGUACACACCGCCCGUCGCACCUACCGAUUGAAUGGUCCGGUGAAAUCUUCGGAUAACAGCAGGUCCCCUUCAUUGGGGACCUAAUGUCAGAAGUUGAUUAAACCUUGCUAUUUAGAGGAAGGUAAANUCGUAACA
rnacentral:rRNA from 1 species